rnacentral:rRNA from 1 species
GCGCUCAUCUUUUUCUCUCCUCCGUCUCUCUCUCUUCUCUCUAUCCCUCUCCCACCGACGUAGUAGUGGUGGUGGAGCCUUCAGGAACCGCUCGCACGCACGCUCGACACCCUCCCAUGCCAAAAAAGUUGAGGGGGAGUGGAGAGAGGGGAGAGGGAAGCAGAGGGGAGGGGAGAGGGUGGUGGCGGUGGAUGGGGCGCGGCGCCGCCGCAGUCGCUGCCAUGCCGAGGGGGGAAGGUAAGGGGGGGACAAGCUAAAGCCCCAGAGGAGGGGAGGUCAGCUAGCCUCGAGGACCGGUCAGCUGGAAGAGGAAAACGGACUACGCCUUCUCUAAAACCCCUACGGCGCGACGGCCCCGCCGCGCUCAGAAGGCGCCCAAAGCAAGCCCGCCUAAACCCCGACAAACAAAUCGGGGAACGGCUGCGCAAAACCACCCUACCUCACUAAGAAUCUCGAGUCCCCAAAUCCGGCCGCCCGCUUAUAUGAGCACAGCGCACUAAACUAAACUACCAGCCGAGUCAGGGCUAGAGGAGGCGCGACGGCCACUCCGCGGGACAGGUCUACGCCUAACUUCGCCGACCAAUCCUCAAAACCAACCAAAACCCAGUCGUGUGUGGGUCUAGCUCGGGGCAACCGCAACCCCUAAGACGACAGACUAAAGGUAAAGAGGACGAUCCUAAAGAGGACAAAUCCUAAAAACUAACCAACCAGCCUAUCUACCGACCCAAACCGGUCUCGCGAUACUGCUAGAAGAACCCCCAAACAUUAGUCUGCUUCCAUCAUUUUGGUCAUCGUGAACGCAAUCCCCCAACCCGGCCCUAAGAGAAAAAAACAAAAACUCGUAUUUACCUUAUCCGAAAAUCGUUUAGUAAUCGCCUAGUUUUCUCGAAUACCGUUUUUAAUUACUAAUGUACCUGACUAACCCAUGACUUGUACAGAAAUGAGACGGUAUGUAUCUGACAGUAGUAAGUAGUCGGUGGUACAAGACAUAACUACCUUUACGAUUUAUGUCAUACAACCUGUCUUUUAUAUACGAUACAAAUCUUUCCUCCUUGAGCCACGAUUAAUCAUAGACAAAACGAACAACUACGGUACGUCCAACACUACUUUUCGACGUAGACAAUUCCCUGUGUUCAAGACGAUGGCUCAAGCUGUACCCAAGUCCUUUGGACUACCACUUCUUCCACCACUCCGGGUCGAGAAAACUGGAACUGUAUGUAGAACUGUUUUCGACCUUCCUCCUACACUGGACGGGUUAGACGGAUCUAAUGGGGGUGUUGCGUCAGGAGGACUCCACGUGCAGAAUGCUCUUCCCAACGUCCGGCAAACACACGCUGUGGCUGGUCUGGGCGAGUUUGACAGAACUCUCCAAGUUUCCACGAAUACUCGAUGGACGGUUACAGUUCCAGAGCAGAUAUCGACACCGGGGAGAACUAUCGUAGGUGUAGCACAGUAGAGUGCGUUUGUUGGCGGGUUCAACGGGUAACACGUCUCCACUACAAUAGCCCACCUAACACUAGUCGCUCCGAGCAGACGUAGAAUUGGUCUUCUUCUCUACGACACUUCUCCUAACGACGAGGAAAUGACCGUUGAAGUUACUCGAAGUCUUCGUGUGUGUCGUUUUCGUAGGUCUAAGUGCGGGAAGUCUUUAGCUGGGACGGUCCGUUCAACUAACCCUGUUGAAGGUCGUUAGAAGACUAUAGCACCUACAGAACUCGUGCUAUGUACGUGUUCAAGGAUUACCAUAGCAAGAGCCUCUGAUACAGUAACUCAUACCCCUACUACUAUGACCUCUGCUGAUACUUCACGAGGUGUCCCAAUCCUCCUUCACCACCAGAAAAUAAACAACGUUCCGUAAAACAUCUAUAGGUUCUUCGGCUUCUUCUCCCUCUCCUUCCCUGUCAUCUCCUUCACCUUCCUCCUUGUCGUUAGUCCGAGUAGACCUCUUGAAGUUAGAGCUCCAAGGCUGUGUUCGACAACUGGACUCCCUUGAGUCUAAACUACUUUAGCUACUACUCAUGUAACAGUGUCCCCGGCAUGGAUCAUACCGUUGUGGUCCUUCUUACCGGUCAAAGGUAAUGUCCCUAUGUUCUAUACCAGCCACUAGCCCGCAUGAUGAAUUGUCUUGGUCGACUAUUUCUUUUUCAUAAACGUCGGCGCUACACUACGGCGUCGGAAGUCCUUUGAGGUGGGGGAGGGGUAAAAAGCAAAGAAAAGGGCGGGCCCAGCAACGAUCCGCGGCGAGGUCGGGCCUGAAGGACACGUAUUUUUCAUCGUUGUCUUUGGGAAGCGGCGGCAGGAGCAAGCAAACGUUAUCUAAAAGUAAAUGGCAUCGAAGGUAAGACAUAUAUAAAUCGUGGGUAGAAUAUGUCACUACGGCCACUUUUCGGAAAAAAAAGAGAAAAAACCUUUACUUUACUUACAGCCCACUACGACGUCGGCGCCGAGUGGCCGGGUCGGCACCAAUGUCAAAGACUUAAACCAACCACCAGAGACUCUGCUGUGGCCCGCGCAAUAGACAGUCCACUCCUUCGAAGGUCGAAGCUUGUUCACGGACUUCUCAGUGUGCCCACGCCACGUUUACGCGUUACCGGACCAACCACGUCGUGGGUGUGCUUUAACGGGAAACGGACACGACGACGUCCGUGACAUUCGUUGCCCCCCGUCGAACUAACGGACUUAAGUAAACGUACAGCACACCACGACGCAGAGCGUAGACCAAAUUCCGCGACUACUCCUGUCCACGCACAGCCGCCACACGCACGACUACUACCUUAGAGUGAAAACCCAGUGCACGACCAAGCCCCGAGGCCC